rnacentral:rRNA from 1 species
UACGUAGGGUGCAAGCGUUGUCCGGAAUUAUUGGGCGUAAAGAGCUCGUAGGCGGUCUGUCGCGUCGGAUGUGAAAAUCCAGGGCUUAACCCUGGGCCUGCAUUCGAUACGGGCAGACUAGAGUUCGGUAGGGGAGACUGGAAUUCCUGGUGUAGCGGUGAAAUGCGCAGAUAUCAGGAGGAACACCGGUGGCGAAGGCGGAUCUCUGGGCCUUGCCUGACGCUGAGGAACGAAAGCCAGGGUAGCGAACGGG